UUCUGAGGUCCCCUGAACUUUAUAUUUCAGGUCGGCCAUGCUUGUUUUUAUUUACACCUACUUCCUUGUUCCUCAGUCAGCUCGCUACUUGAUUGGCUACAUUCUGUUCUACGUCACAAUUCAUGGAGUCAUGACUCGGUAGUUGUUGGCUUUCCCCACACAUGAAGAUUUUUGGUUGUAAAUAUUGAACAAUUUUAAUAUUUACAAUUUUCGGUCCAACCAAU